UACGUAGGUGGCAAGCGUUGUCCGGAUUUACUGGGCGUAAAGAGCGCGCAGGCGGUCGUUCAAGUCGCGUGUGAAAGCCCCCGGCUCAACUGGGGAGGGUCAUUCGAUACUGAUCGACUCGAAGGCAGGAGAGGGAAGUGGAAUUCCCGGUGUAGUGGUGAAAUGCGUAGAUAUCGGGAGGAACACCAGUGGCGAAGGCGACUUCCUGGCCUGUUCUUGACGCUGAGGCGCGAAAGCUAGGGGAGCAAACGGG
rnacentral:rRNA from 1 species